rnacentral:rRNA from 1 species
UUGGAUUUGUGGUGUGUCCAGUCGGCCUUUGCUCUUUGAGUGAUUGUGCUGUACUGGUCUGCCAUGUUUGGGUGGAAUCUGUGUGGCAUUAAGUUGUCGUGCAGGGGAUGCCCAUCGUUUACUGUGAAAAAAUUAGAGUGUUCAAAGCAGGCUUAUGCCGUUGAAUAUAUUAGCAUGGAAUAAUGAUAUAGGACCUUGGUACUAUUUUGUUGGUUUGCGCACUAAGGUAAUGAUUAAGAGGGACAGUUGGGGGUAUUUGUAUUCCAUUGUCAGAGGUGAAAUUCUUGGAUUUUUGGAAGACAAACUACUGCGAAAGCAUUUACCAAGGAUGUUUUCAUUAAUCAAGAACGAAAGUUAGGGGAUCGAAGAUGAUUAGAUACCAUCGUAGUCUUAACCAUAAACUAUGCCGACAAGGGAUUGGCGGAGUCUCGUUUCGUC